rnacentral:rRNA from 1 species
AGUGAACGCUGGCGGUAGGCCUAACACAUGCAAGUCGAACGGCAGCACAGUAAGAGCUUGCUCUUACGGGUGGCGAGUGGCGGACGGGUGAGGAAUACAUCGGAAUCUACUUUUUCGUGGGGGAUAACGUAGGGAAACUUACGCUAAUACCGCAUACGACCUACGGGUGAAAGCAGGGGAUCUUCGGACCUUGCGCGAUUGAAUGAGCCGAUGUCGGAUUAGCUAGUUGGCGGGGUAAAGGCCCACCAAGGCGACGAUCCGUAGCUGGUCUGAGAGGAUGAUCGGCCACACUGGAACUGAGAAACGGUCCAGACUCCUACGGAAGGCAGCAGUGGGGAAUAUUGGACAAUGGGCGCAAGCCUGAUCCAGCCAUACCGCGUGGGUGAAGAAGGCCUUCGGGUUGUAAAGCCCUUUUGUUGGGAAAGAAAAGCAGCAGGUUAAUACCCCGCUGUUCUGACGGUACCCAAAGAAUAAGCACCGGCUACUUCGUG